CCUAUGAUGACGUCGCCACUAAUAGCGUCUAGUGAUACGUCAUCAGCGCACCGUUGUCAGACCGCACGAAUUGCUUGCAAAUACGGUGCUCAGCAAGUAGACUUUGAUAUGUUUUUUUCGCACUAUGUGGCAGCUAACAGUUCUAACCUUAAAUUCAUCUCAUCGUCGCAUCGCAUCGCAAUAAUGCAUGUCUCGUCUUGUUUACAGUUGUAUUUAUGAUAUGAAUAGGUAAUCUCUCGAAAAACUGAAAGGAUUUCUUGGUGAAUUGGUGGGAAAGUGUGGUAACUAUGUGAUUUUUGAAUCGAGAUUCAAUUCGUUUUUAUUUUUCGACGCCGAUCAAUCUUGUGAUUGGUAUCAUGAAAUUGAGCCCUAUCAGACCUGUUGGCACAGAGCUGCAGAAAGGUCAGAGAGUUUUGUCAAGGCGAUCGAAAAUCUUUCGAGAGACCAAGUCAAAUCAUGCCAACCUGGAGCCUUCUCCGUCUGCAGUCACAUGAAUGAAUGUGGAGUCCAUGAGGACCCAAAGGAAGAAAUUCAAGUAAGCCCUGAUAUACUUGAUUUUAAUGGAGAGCCUUUUUUCUUGAAUUCUUGGAAUUUGUCUAUUCUUGCACAGAGUGAAGAAUGCCUCAUAGUGUGGAAUAUUUUGGAAGACCAUGUGCAAAGAAGGUACAGAUUAUUCUUAUUUUUUGGCAUGCUGAAAUAGAUAAGAACAUUUGUGAGAGGCUUUACGGGGAAAAAAAGGUUAAAAAAGUUUUGAU
rnacentral:lncRNA from 1 species